rnacentral:snRNA from 1 species
AAUAUGUUGUGUAUUGGUCAU